GACGAACGCUGGCGGCGUGCCUAAUACAUGCAAGUCGAGCGAAGUUUUUCUGGUUCUUGCACUAGAAAAACUUAGCGGCGAACGGGUUAGUAACACGUAAAGAACCUGCCUCAUAGACUGGGACAACUAUUGGAAACGAUAGCUAAUACCGGAUAACAGUAUUUCUCGCAUGAGAGAUAUUUAAAAGUUGGUUAUGCUAACACUAUGAGAUUGCUUUGCGGUGCAUUAGCUAGUUGGUGGGGUAAAGGCCCACCAAGGCGACGAUGCAUAGCCGACCUGAGAGGGUGAUCAGCCACACUGGGACUGAGACACGGCCCAGACUCCUACGGGAGGCAGCAGUAGGGAAUCUUCCGCAAUGGGCGAAAGCCUGACGGAGCAACGCCGCGUGAGUGAAGAAGGAUUUCGGUUCGUAAAGCUCUGUUGUUAGGGAAGAAUGGAUAUGUAGUAACUAUACAUGUAAGAGACGGUACCAAACCAGAAAGCCACGGCUAACUACGUG
rnacentral:rRNA from 1 species